CUGUGCCUGCACUGGCCGACGUUUCUUUCUUGCAUUCCACCGAUUGCUGUCAGUUUGUUGGAUUUUGCGGUUACAACAUGUCUUCGGAGAUACAACCCUACAUUUACGACCCUGAAUCGGACGAGGACGAAGAUUGUGUCGAGCAACAACCACUCGUCAUUUGUACAUGACCGUAUCCCAAUGGUGCACCUGGAACUGAGAAGAAAUGCCAAACAGAAGAGGAACAUGUCUGCUGACAGGAGAUUUCCCAGGUUAUCUUGUCAAGGCGUUGCAAGCAUCUGGCAUACAGAUGUUUCGAAUGUUCGUGCUGGGGCUACUUAGGAAGGAAAGUUCAGUGGUCAUCACAUCCAUCCUGUGUUG